UACGGAGGGAGCUAGCGUUGUUCGGAAUUACUGGGCGUAAAGCGCACGUAGGCGGCGACGUAAGUCGGGUGUGAAAGCCCCGGGCUUAACCUGGGAACUGCAGUCGAGACUGUCUAGCUAGAGUAUGGGAGAGGGAAGCGGAAUUCCGGGUGUAGCGGUGAAAUGCGUAGAUAUCCGGAGGAACACCGGUGGCGAAGGCGGCUUCCUGGACCGACACUGACGCUGAGGCGCGAAAGCUAGGGGAGCAAACGGG
rnacentral:rRNA from 1 species